AUUGAACGCUGGCGGCAUGCCUUACACAUGCAAGUCGAACGGUAACGGGCCUUCGGGUGCCGACGAGUGGCGAACGGGUGAGUAAUGUAUCGGAACGUACCUUUCAGUGGGGGAUAACGUAGCGAAAGUUACGCUAUUACCGCAUAUUCUGUGCGCAGGAAAGCAGGGGAUCGCAAGACCUUGCGCUGAUUGAGCGGCCGAUAUCAGAUUAGCUAGUUGGUGAGGUAAAGGCUCACCAAGGCGACGAUCUGUAGCGGGUCUGAGAGGAUGAUCCGCCACACUGGAACUGAGACACGGUCCAGACUCAUACGGGAGGCAGCAGUGGGGAAUUUUGGACAAUGGGGGCAACCCUGAUCCAGCCAUGCCGCGUGAGUGAAGAAGGCCUUCGGGUUGUAAAGCUCUUUCGGCCGGGAAGAAAUCGUAUCAGCUAAUACCUGGUGCGGAUGACGGUACCGGCAUAAGAAGCACCGGCUAACUACGUGCCAGCCGCCGCCGUAAUAC
rnacentral:rRNA from 1 species